rnacentral:rRNA from 1 species
AACACUUGGAAACAGGUGCUAAUACCGUAUAACAAUCGAAACCGCAUGGUUUUGAUUUGAAAGGCGCUUUCGGGUGUCGCUGAUGGAUGGACCCGCGGUGCAUUAGCUAGUUGGUGAGGUAACGGCUCACCAAGGCCACGAUGCAUAGCCGACCUGAGAGGGUGAUCGGCCACAUUGGGACUGAGACACGGCCCAAACUCCUACGGGAGGCAGCAGUAGGGAAUCUUCGGCAAUGGACGAAAGUCUGACCGAGCAACGCCGCGUGAGUGAAGAAGGUUUUCGGAUCGUAAAACUCUGUUGUUAGAGAAGAACAAGGAUGAGAGUAACUGUUCAUCCCUUGACGGUAUCUAACCAGAAAGCCACGGCUAACUACGUGCCAGCAGCCGCGGUAAUACGUAGGUGGCAAGCGUUGUCCGGAUUUAUUGGGCGUAAAGCGAGCGCAGGCGGUUUCUUAAGUCUGAUGUGAAAGCCCCCGGCUCAACCGGGGAGGGUCAUUGGAAACUGGGAGACUUGAGUGCAGAAGAGGAGAGUGGAAUUCCAUGUGUAGCGGUGAAAUGCGUAGAUAUAUGGAGGAACACCAGUGGCGAAGGCGGCUCUCUGGUCUGUAACUGACGCUGAGGCUCGAAAGCGUGGGGAGCAAACAGGAUUAGAUACCCUGGUAGUCCACGCCGUAAACGAUGAGUGCUAAGUGUUGGAGGGUUUCCGCCCUUCAGUGCUGCAGCUAACGCAUUAAGCACUCCGCCUGGGGAGUACGACCGCAAGGUUGAAACUCAAAGGAAUUGACGGGGGCCCGCACAAGCGGUGGAGCAUGUGGUUUAAUUCGAAGCAACGCGAAGAACCUUACCAGGUCUUGACAUCCUUUGACCACUCUAGAGAUAGAGCUUCCCCUUCGGGGGCAAAGUGACAGGUGGUGCAUGGUUGUCGUCAGCUCGUGUCGUGAGAUGUUGGGUUAAGUCCCGCAACGAGCGCAACCCUUAUUGUUAGUUGCCAUCAUUCAGUUGGGCACUCUAGCAAGACUGCCGGUGACAAACCGGAGGAAGGUGGGGAUGACGUCAAAUCAUCAUGCCCCUUAUGACCUGGGCUACACACGUGCUACAAUGGGAAGUACAACGAGUUGCGAAGUCGCGAGGCUAAGCUAAUCUCUUAAAGCUUCUCUCAGUUCGGAUUGCAGGCUGCAACUCGCCUGCAUGAAGCCGGAAUCGCUAGUAAUCGCGGAUCAGCACGCCGCGGUGAAUACGUUCCCGGGCCUUGUACACA